rnacentral:lncRNA from 1 species
GUGCAGAAGCGACUCCGACUCAGUCCAACACUCUCCAGAUGUGUCGACCAGUCACUAAUACUGUAGCCAAUCCUAUCCAAACCUCAGGAACACUACACUCUGCCCCUUUAUAAAAUAAAAAAUAUUAACUUCACCCUAUGCCGUUAGUGAUCCAUUAGGAUUCCGUUUAUAAAAUAUUAUUAUAUACUUUUUAUGCCAAAAAUUAGUCCAGUUCAGCCCAGAAAAAAUCAGCAUUGCACCAUCUACGGUCAACUUUAAAAUUAGAGCUAUUUAGCUGCAAACUGUAGCUCAAAGAAGGUAUGGACCACAUCCUAGCAUUCCCAACUCUAGUUAUGAACCAUCAAUUUUGAAGUUGGAGUAGGAAAACCCAUCAAAUUUAGCUCCCAAAUCUCCUACUCAAUGCUGUCAGCCUGCAACAACAUUCAAAGUCCAAAUAAAAAUCUUAUCGAAAAUCCACUUCAACAUUCAAAACUCCACUUCAACAUUCACUCUUUCUCUCUAGAUUGUCCACAAAAAGCUCACCAAAAAUCACAAAGAGAGCCAUUAAUAUUAGAGGGAUUGUGAUGUUGCUUGGACGGUUCAUACUCUCUAUUAUUAUAUUUAUAAUUUGAUUUGAUUACUUAUUGACUUAGAUUAGUCAAACCCUAUCACAUUAGAGGAGAGCUAACAAGUGGUUCAAAUUAUAUGUUUAACUCUNAUCUUGAUAAAUUUCCAACACAAACUAUCCCCUAAAAGCAAAUAUUUUUAACAAUAGAUCUUAUCUGAAUAAAUAAAUAUGCUAUUGAUAAAAAUGUAUAGAUCUUAUCUGAAUUGUAGAAUAAAUGUAAAAUUAAUCUUAAAAACUUUCAAUUUUGCUCCAUGAUCUUUCAUAGUUUGUUUUAGUAAAUUUAUAUAUAUAAAAAAAAAUUUAGGACCAUGCAUUUCUUUUCAACUUGAUAUUAUUAUAUUGUCUUUGAAAAAAAUCUUAUAUAAAAUAAUCUGAAAAGAUUUGAGAGAGAAUAGAUCUUAUCUGAAUUUUGCUACAUCACACUCCACCCAAGCAAAAUGACAACUUUACAAAAUUCUUCAAUGCCAAAAAGAGCUAUUUUCAAAUUUUUACUUGGCUAAAAUAUAUAAAAUUUUACUGUCAAAACUCAAAUUUUCACUUUUUUUUUCUGUCAUUUAAAAACAUAUACUCUGUGUCACGUCCCGGAUUACUCGUUUCCCCAGGCACGCCGACAAAUCCGCCGUAUACAAAGAAAUUUUUUCUAUAUACGAAGCGAUAGCUGUACCGGUAAUCACACAAUACUACAACCGUAGUGUAGAGCUGCUAAUAAGAAAUAAAAACAUAAAUAAUAACAGUGGUUCAAUAUAUACAUAUAGCAUCCGGGUACAAAAGUGCUCGCUCCAACGAGAUACAAAAUCAGUAUGUAAAGAACCAAAAGAACUACAACUACUUGUAGCUGGUAUGCUCUAAAUCAACAGCAACUAGGAAGGGAUCUAACUUGCGACUCUCUUUCCUAAAUCUAAAUCAGCAGCAGCAGCAGCAGAAGAAGAAGGCUCUGCAAAAGAUUCCAACAACUAGGCGUGAGAAUUACUACAAAAAGAAGUAGUUCUCAGUGGGUACCGCUACCGACCUCAACGGCUCGCCCACUAAGUCUACAGAUGUAUACACAAGAUAGAAAAGGAAGGUGAAACAAAUCUACAGCUAUAUGCCACUAUCCUAUCAUGAUCCAAUACUACUAUCUAUAGAAUAAAGCCAUCUCUGACCCAAUCUCACUAGGGACUGUAAACAUAUCCGUCUCAGGGAUUGAACACACCCGUCCCGCCUAUCGAAACUAUAUAGCUACCUCCACGCUAAGCAGUCCGGGGAGAGUAAGUCCAACCAGGACGAAACGACACCAACGCAAAUGUACAAAGCCCGACUCCUGAGUGGCACUCGUGGGCGCUACCCAACCGAAUAUGCAAGUAUAUCUCUGUCGAGCUCAAUCCGGCUCUCACAGGCUAUAGUCAAGUAAACAGGAUCUAACAAGUCUAACAACCUAAACUCACGUGCCAUCGGCACAAUCUGAUGUAAAAACGGCAAUCCGGGUCUACCGUUAAUCUCAACGGCACCCAACUGAGCGGAACAGCCUAAACUCUGCUGUAAAAAUAAGCUCGGCAUCCCAGCACGAGCGUAAAUACAUUCUACACUAUCCUGAGUAUCCACUGCCCACAAACUGCGGUGACACAAACAAACUACGGCUCCUAAAGCUAAAUCUGGUAGUUUUAACAUAUGACAGUGUAGAAUCGUAAGUUUUCUCCUAAGUCAAAAUCAAGUCAAACAUGUAUAUUUAACUAACAUUUAAGCUUCAAUUUCAUAUUCCAAUAAGCAUGCAAAUCCUCUAAUUGAGCUAUCUAACAUGAUAAACAACAAUCAAUAUACAUGCCGACAACUACAACUUAGAAGGAAAUCCAGUAAUUCCGGUAGCUUAACAUUCAACACACCUCUCGCGCAACUCCACGGCAGUAAAAAGGUCACGAAGUUGCUGGGAGCCUCAGCUGAAAUCACCCACAACCAGCAACUAUGCUACUCGAAGAAUCUAACCAAUAAAAACACCAAAAUCUCAAUACUAUACUCAAAUUCAGCAUUUAAGCUAGAAUUCACCUCAAUCACAAUGUCAACUUCACGUUCCAAUCUUCAAAUCUGGUGAAGUAAGGUUCCAAAUCCAGUGGAGAGUGAUAACACACAAGGCUCAGGUCGCAAUUCCAACUCCCUCUAAGAAUUAAUCCAUGAAAACCCCAAAAAUCCCAAUUUCAGCUCAAAAACUAUAGCAGCUAAGAAGAACAGCAAAUUGACUAUACUAACCUUAAUCAAUUUCUGUCAAAAUGGCUCCACGAAUUUCUCUUGAAGUCCAGGAUCCACAAAAUUAAGUUUCACAGCAAACGGAGCUUCCUACGUCGCACACGAGCCAAAACGUCGAAGGUCGCUGCUGAAAAUCUGCAGAAUCAACACUCCUCAAGCUUGGAAUGUGGAAUUUGAAGUAAUUUGAGGGACUUAGGUGCAAAAUCAGGCUUCACUGUGAAGAAGGAACGAAAAGAGUUCACAGGGGUCGAGUUCCAUCUAUUUAUAGGGAGUUAGAACGGUCCAAUAAGCCCCAGAAACAAAAGCUGCUAACCUGCAGUUUCAGGCGCCCGAAACCCCUUUCUGGGCUUCCGAAACCUCCAGGCUACACACUUGCUCCCCUUCGGUUCCUCCACCCGUGGUGUACUGCACCCAAAACCGGUUCCGGCGGACCUCACCUACCACUUGCCACGUGUCAGUGCAAACGAUAUUCACGAGGUGAACUUUCGGACCCACUUCUGGGCGCCCGAAACUAGGAUCCGAAUUGGCUUCGAGUUCUGCACAACCCAGCACUCAAGUUCUGGGCGCCCGAAUCUGGCAAAACUCUAGUUUUGCUUAUUUGAGUGCACCGAGUCUAUUUUUGCAUCCAUUUCGUGCAGAAGCAAUUCCGACUCAGUCCAACACUCUCCAGAUGUGUCGACCAGUCACUAAUACUGUAGCCAAUUCUAUCCAAACCUCAGGAACACUACACUCUGCCCCUUUAUAAAAUAAAAAAUAUUAACUUCACCCUCUGCCGUUAGUAAUCCGUUAGGAUUCCGUUUAUAAAAUAUUAUUAUAUACUUUUUAUGCCAAAAAUUAGUCCAGUUCAGCCCAGAAAAAAUCAGCAUUGCACCAUCUACGGUCAACUUUAAAA